GUCUUUCUCGGCGAGAGAAGACGACGUUCUUUUGUUUUGUCUGUGUAUAACCUUGGCUGUGUCAUGUGACCAGUCUUUUCAAUCCUCACUGGUUGUCAUGCCAACACAAUAUCUAAAGGAGUCGUGCUUGAAUAGUUGAGUGAAGACACAGGAUGUUUGAACUUCACAGAUGGGGAGCGGGACACUUAGUCCCCCCAGUGCGUCCUCAAAACGCCGUAGGCCGCCUCCCACUCAUCCUCACCCGGAUUUCCUCCACGGCCACGCUCACCAGAGGCGGCGGUCCAUCUGUUCUUUCAUCCAAAGAAGAUGGAGAGCUGCUGUUCUCACACAUUCUUCUCGUUCUGGGAGAACCAUCAACUCUGACUCAGAGCGUUUGAAUGGAAUAAGCAGAAAUUGAUGCUGUUUUUAUGUCUAUUUUAAACAACUGGAAACGAGUAAAUAGAUAUUUAUCUAGAA